rnacentral:rRNA from 1 species
UACAGAGGUGGCAAGCGUUGUUCGGAAUUACUGGGCGUAAAGGGCGCGUAGGCGGCCUUCUAAGUCAGACGUGAAAUCCCCCGGCUUAACCUGGGAACUGCGUCUGAUACUGGAGGGCUUGAGUGCGGGAGAGGGAUGUGGAAUUCCAGGUGUAGCGGUGAAAUGCGUAGAUAUCAGGAGGAACACCGGUGGCGAAGGCGGAUCUCUGGGCCUUACCUGACGCUCAGGUGCGAAAGCUAGGGGAGCGAACAGG